rnacentral:sRNA from 1 species
CCGCCGCCGCCGCCGCCGCCGACGACGACGGAUGCACGAGCGCCUCACCACAGCAUUUCAGUAGGACCUUCCACCAUCUCCUCAGCAUACCUCACAGUGGAGUGUCAACCGUCCCCAGUGUAAGGACGCAUUUCAUAUUCAAAUCAUAACGGUGCUUAUCAGAAGCCUCAAACAUCUAUCUUUUGGUCCAGUAAUUAGACCUCUAGCAUUCUUUUAAAUACAGUAAUCAUUAAAAAUAGAAAUUUCUUUUUUUAAAAAAUCAUGAAGGUAGUCCUAGCAUAUUAUAAUGGCAAAUUACAAAUUGACGAAUGUGUUGAAAAAAAAAAAAAAUCCAGCAUCGGUCUAGUGUCUCAUGGCAGCAAAAUGAUGUUGAUGAAGACAGCAAUUGUCUACCGUACUCUGUUAAAUAAAAAUCAGGUCUGGAGAAGUCUCGGUGGUUAAGAGCACAGGCUGCUCUUACACUCAGGUUCAGUUCCUAGCACCCACGUCCACCGAGGCUCACAACCCUCUGUGCUCCAGGGGAUCUGACGCCUUCUUCUGGCCACUGUAGGCACCAGGUGCCUGUGGAGGCCAGAAGGGGGCGACCAUCUCCUGGAGUUACAGACAGGCAUCUGUGAACCAUGCGACAUGGGAGCUGGCUUCUCCACGUGCCACUCUCACUCCUGGCAUGAAAAUUCUAAACUGAGACAGUCACUGAAAAGAGCACUGUGGACACUUGUUGCCUUGACGAAGUGCCAUGAAAGUGGCUUGAACAGAGAAAAUUCAGCCAGAAGGUCGAAUUGCAGCUCCCGCAGCUUCACCAUGACAAACCCACCUAAUUCUCAUUCUUAUGUGACUCUAUGAGGUUCAUUGCUCAGCCAGCAUUCAUUAGAGGAUUUUCAAAAGCCCUAGAAACAUAUUCGUUCCAGCAUAUCAAACAGGAGGAUGUGAGGGAAACUAAGAGUUCAUUCCAGAGAAUCAAGUCGUUUCAACGAAAAUGACCGGAGACAUGACAAUUUGUCCCUAAAAAGGGUUGCUUUCCCACGGUGCACACAAUAUCCAAGUGGACUGGUUUACUACAAAGUCCUGUGGCCAGUUACUGUUACCCUAACUCAUCAUCUUGCUGUCUAAUAGUCAUCUCCAAGUUUACUCAUGUCAUUGCUUCAUAAAGAACACUUAACACUGGCCAGCAAGAUGGUCCAGCUGGCCCACUUUCUGCAGAGCCUGAUUAACUGAGUUCAAUCAUUGAAGCCCACACGGUGGGCAGAGCGAAUCAACUCCCACAAGUCCUAUGACCUCCACGCAUGUGCAGUGGUAUGCAUGCCCAAGCACGCACACGGGUACAGAUAAUUAAAUGUAAUUUUAAAACACAUGUUAAAGAACAUUAAUCACUUGCUUUCAUCAUGGGUGUGCGUUAAACUGUGGCAGAGAGUGCUCAAUGUAUACCUGGCUCCUGGUACCCCCUUCCUUGCUGAGAGAACGCUGGUUUACUAUGCAGCCAUAUUGGGUCCAGUCCUAACCCUGCUUACUUCAGAGCUGCGAUUUUCCACCUGCCGUUGCAAAUAGGGAUACUCACAUGAUUUCUUUCUGACCAGUAUGGAAUAGGGCGGAAUAGACUGAGAAUUUGGGGUGGCGCUUAUUUUUAAAGGGGAACUAUCUAUUUACCUCCUCCGGGAAGAACGCUAUCGCACCAAUCAGGUAAUCUAAAACUCUGAUGAUGGCUUGGUGGGCACAGUGCCUACUGGCAAGCCUGACCACUUGACCUGGGAUCCCUAGAACCUAGGUAACGCCUGAUGUGGUCGCAUUCAUCCAUAACCCGGUGCUCUUGCUGUGAGACAGGAGAGAAAACGGGGACGAUAUCCAGAGUUGAGGAAGAAUGGGGACCGAGAAUAAAGGAGCUGGCUAUUAUCUGAACACUUCAGAAACUCUAUGACGGGUGCCUGGUGUCCACAGCACCUAUUUAUAUAUUUAUUGCUGUCCUGAAAAAUAAAACCCAGGAUUUUGUACGUGCAAGGUUAGCACUCUACUGCUCAGCCUGUUUGUUUGUAUGUUUGUUUGUUUGUUUUUAUGGUUUAGGGAUCAAAUGUAGGGACUUGGACAUGUCGGGCAAGCACAUAUUUAUUUAUUGGUUCAUGAUAUGUUAUUGAAAUUUCCCAGAGUGAAAUGUUUUGAAAGUGUGUGGCUGGGGUUAGAAUUACGACAUGCCUUUGCUUCCUCCCUUCUUCCUCGCCUGGAAGUUGACAGACAGAGUCCUGGAGCUGUGGCAGCAUUUUUGCUACCAUGAAGUUGAGAAUAUCGGAGUAGAAGUGGGGGGGAAAACCAAAACAAAAGCAAACAAGGAAAACAGCAACAAAUUCAACCUUGGGUCUUGAAUGAUGUUCACGGAAUCUGGAGACCUCCAUCUGUCCGCACCACUGUUAAAAGGGUUCUCUGUCACUCACUGCAGAAAAUAUCUCUGACACACAUGAGACACAAUAAAUAUGACUUUCAAAACUGA